CCCUAAAUCGUAUAAAAGUAAUAUAUUAGGUUGCAANNCUUGGGAUGUUGGUGCGAUUCCAACUUUAGGGU
rnacentral:tRNA from 1 species